AGAGUUUGAUCAUGGCUCAGAUUGAACGCUGGCGGCAUGCCUUACACAUGCAAGUCGAACGGCAGCGCGGGGCAACCUGGCGGCGAGUGGCGAACGGGUGAGUAAUAUAUCGGAACGUGCCCUGGAGUGGGGGAUAACGCAGCGAAAGUUGCGCUAAUACCGCAUACGAUCUAAGGAUGAAAGCAGGGGACCGCAAGGCCUUGUGCUCCUGGAGCGGCCGAUAUCUGAUUAGCUAGUUGGUGGGGUAAAGGCCUACCAAGGCAUCGAUCAGUAGCUGGUCUGAGAGGACGACCAGCCACACUGGAACUGAGACACGGUCCAGACUCCUACGGGAGGCAGCAGUGGGGAAUUUUGGACAAUGGGCGCAAGCCUGAUCCAGCAAUGCCGCGUGAGUGAAGAAGGCCUUCGGGUUGUAAAGCUCUUUUGUCAGGGAAGAAACGGUAUGGGCUAAUAUCCCGUACUAAUGACGGUACCUGAAGAAUAAGCACCGGCUAACUACGUGCCAGCAGCCGCGGUAAUACGUAGGGUGCAAGCGUUAAUCGGAAUUACUGGGCGUAAAGCGUGCGCAGGCGGUUUUGUAAGUCUGUCGUGAAAUCCCCGGGCUCAACCUGGGAAUUGCGAUGGAGACUGCAAGGCUAGAAUCUGGCAGAGGGGGGUAGAAUUCCACGUAGCAGUGAAAUGCGUAGAGAUGUGGAGGAACACCGAUGGCGAAGGCAGCCCCCUGGGUCAAGAUUGACGCUCAUGCACGAAAGCGUGGGGAGCAAACAGGAUUAGAUACCCUAGUAGUCC
rnacentral:rRNA from 1 species